GCCGAAGUGGCGGAAUGGCAGACGCGACGGAUUCAAAAUCCGUUAUUCGAAAGGGUGUGUGGGUUCAAGUCCCACCUUCGGCA
rnacentral:tRNA from 1 species